UGCGAACUCCUACGGGAGGCAGCAGUGAGGAAUAUUGGUCAAUGGACGAGAGUCUGAACCAGCCAAGUAGCGUGCAGGAUGACGGCCCUAUGGGUUGUAAACUGCUUUUAUGCGGGAAUAAAGUGAUUUACGUGUAUUUCAUUGCAUGUACCGCAUGAAUAAGGACCGGCUAAUUCCGUGCCAGCAGCCGCGGUAAUACGGAAGGUUCGGGCGUUAUCCGGAUUUAUUGGGUUUAAAGGGAGCGUAGGCUGAAUAUUAAGCGUGUUGUGAAAUGUAGUUGCUCAACAUCUGCACUGCAGCGCGAACUGGUAUUCUUGAGUGUGCGCGACGUAGGCGGAAUUCGUGGUGUAGCGGUGAAAUGCUUAGAUAUCACGAAGAACUCCGAUUGCGAAGGCAGCUUACGAGAGCACAACUGACGCUUAAGCUCGAAGGUGCGGGUAUCGAACAGGAUUAGAUACCCUUGUAGUCCGA
rnacentral:rRNA from 1 species